CUAUGCUUGAGGUUAGAGAAGAACAAAUACACUUUUGGUUCUGUUGGUGUUUUCCACCAACAGGGCCCAUGCACUUGAUCUCUGCCUUGUCUCUAUGAGUAGGUACACCUUGAGCAAAAUAUGAAGGAUUUUUACAACUCCCAGACUCCACCAAAGUGAAGAACCUAGAUCUAUGAGCACAAACACGCUGGAGAUACUGGACACUCAUGCAAACACUGCCCUGAGAUGCUUGAGGAUGUAACUACUGGAGUAACCCCGUUGUGGAAGUAAUUACUGACCUUCUGCCGGUCAAGAGAGACAAUCUAGGAUGCCCCGUCAUCCCAAUCUCCAUCAGCAUGUCGGACUUCCUAGAAGCACUCUGCGACUUUGGCUCCAGCGUCAACAUUAUACCUAGGGGAAGCCAUUCCUGAACACCUCGGGAGCUGUCAUCUACGCUAGUGCUGCCAAGAUCAGUUUCUACAUCAAGGGGAAGAAGGAGACGUUUUCCUUCAAGAAACAAGACUACACAAAUCCCAGAGCAAUCCCGACAUGAACCAAGGAAGAGGACCAACAGGAGGAACAAGAACAAGCAAAUAUGUACCGAGUCAGCUAAGAUGGUCAUUGCAGCUCGAGGAGGUCAAGAUCGUCAACUCAAGUCACCUUUCUUGAUAAGAAGGAUGACCCUGGUGUCCCAAGCAUCGAGUUCACAAUCAAUGGAUAUUCUUUUCAGAAGACACUCUACGACACCGGAUCUAACGUCAACAUAAUGGCCGCAGUCACUUAUCAGCUCCUGCAUGGAACCAUGUCCCUACAACCAACAUACAUUCAGCUCCAGAUGACAGAUCAGACAUUCUGAAAGGUUAUUGACAUGGGAGAAGACAAGUCAGGACAAGAAGAAGAUGACGCAACCGUAACCAGAGGAGGAAAAUCAUAAAGGACGGAUGGGCAGACUGCGAAGGAGAAGUGGUAAUGUCUGAAGACAUACAACUUGAACGGAACUGUCCUAAGGAGACCGUAGCACCGAGUCAGGUGUGUAGAGAGAAGAUUGUUAUACACGAAGAGGAGGCGUCGCCGGAACCACCGACUACGCCAUCCAGUGAAUCCCAGGACGACUGAGAAUAUGGAGAGUCCCGUUCGGAGAACUUAAAAACACCAAACGCCUUGCCAAGAGGUAAACUUGGUAGUUAUCUUUUUCCUUUCAAUUAUUUUAGUUAAUCAGGUUCAUAUCAUCUUGAAAAUAAAAUAAAAAUGUUUAAAAUAGUAAGCCCCAUGUGAGUAUGCUCAUGGCAUAAAACCCAUAAGUACAUUCACUGUGGUGGCAUAAAAAAAAUGAAAUAAAUAUAUUCCUAUCCUAUAAAAAUAAAAUUAUAAAAAUUAAUGAUCCUACUAAAGAGAGUAACAUUUAUUGAGGAGGCUCAACAUGAUAAAGGCUAGAUAUUUAUGCUAACACUUAACUAGUUCCACAAAGCUUUGUUGUCUAUUUGAGCUCCACAGAAUUCAAGGAUCAAAGAAGACUAGCUGACGGAGGACAUCCUAAUCGCUGUCAGGGUGCUGCUGACAUUCAAAUACACCUCCACCACCUGCUAGCUACAUCAGAAGAAACUUCGUCAAAAUCUAGCUUGGGGGAGAGCACCCCCAUUUAUCCAGCUAAGUGUUUCGACUCACGUUUAUACUUUACUCUAAUAAUAAAAAGAUGCAUAAUCAUAGAAACCCAAAUAAAGAUUUUGUGCUUAUCUUUGCUUAGUUUGCUAAAUAAAUAAAUAAAUAAAGUUUUCUAUGAACCCUCAUGAUAAGCUCUCACAUGGAAAUGCUGAAUAGUUGCUCUGCCAUGACUAGUUCUUAAAAUUGAAAUCUCUCUCAAGUUUAGGCAUGACUGUUAUUAAUUAAGAUUUGCUCUAAACCUGAACUUGUGGGAAGAGUACUUGAUCUAAAGUCUAAGUCGUUAACGGAUAUGAUAUGGGAAGGUUGAGCUGUUGUUUAUCUGUUCCUAGAUAUGCUAGAAUUCUGGAGAAUUUUAUCUUUGAAAAUCUUUAAAAUAUCACAUGAUGAGUUCCUGUAUGAUGAGAGUUUAAAUUCCUACCACAGCCAUAUAUACAUGCUUGCUAGACUUUGAGCCACACAUUUACUUUUUACUGCUUAUGAGCAUUGAGUGUGGUCAAGCUGUGUAGACCCUUAGGAGCUUGUCAUGUGGUUAAAUCAAGAUUCACUUGCACAUUCAGUCACACAUGCUACUUCUACUCCAGAAGUACCAUCCACAUAUAUCCAUCCAUUUCCAUCUCCAGAACCACCCAAAAAUAUUCUACUCCAAAUCUGGGAGAGAAUAGCCAAAAACAUUCUCCUAUUUCUGUUUUUCCCUGUGAAAUAAAUGCUCAAGUUAUCUUGGUUACUACCACUUGCUAUAUUAUUUCAGGAGAUGAGUGCUCUAAAAAAAAGAGAAAAAAAAAGAGAAAGAAUACGAGGAAAUAAAAAGGGGCAAGUGCCCGGAACCUCGAAAAAAAAAGUGAGACGAGAGGUAAAAAUGGACAAGUGUCCGACAGUAGAAUUAGGGGUACAAGAUACCCACCUGAGAGAAAAGAAAAAGAAAAUAUAGAGCAUCUCAUUUGUUGACGGUCCUUAAGUAUCAAAUUUAAUUAUCAAAUAAACAAAGAAAAGGAUCCAAAUGAAAUCAACAUCUAGACUUAGGGUUUUAUCUGACAGAAUUCCACGAGUUUUGGUGUUUGUCUAUUUCUGCAGGGGGUUAUCAGGAAAUAAGGAAGAAAGGCCCACAUGUCAGGAUUACAUAGAGAUAUCAACCCACCGCACAAUUUUCUACCAUCUAGAAGACUCCAGAAGCCACGGGAAGGAAGCGGAGCCCGAAAGGGGCCAGGCCCAGGGCGCCCGCCCUGAGGACCUGGGCGCCCGCCCCCCUCUGGACUCCGUUCCGGACUCUCUUUGCACACGACGUUCCACCGACCUAUUGGAUCCAGAAUAACAUAGUACCACCUCGCCUAUCGACCGAAAAACGCAUAGAAGGGGAGGACUAUAUAAGGAGACCCCCUCUGGCCCCUAGAGAAGACAAGAAAUUAUCAUAGAGAUUGAGGGGUGCCCUCGAAGGAAAACCUCUUCUCUAAAUAAUAUUUCUUUUUAGGCUUAGCAACCAAUGUAAGGUAGAAAUAGAUCUUCUAGAUUCUACUAGAUUGAGAGAGAUAGAGUGGAGGUGUGGAUCGGAGGAAGGCCGGCCUGUCGGUGUCUACUCCGAGUUGUACCUACGGGAUCAAGUCUCCUAACCCGAGGCUUGCUUCUAAGAUUCUUCAGUAUUUCGACUUCUAAUACUAGUAAGUUCUUGUUUUAUUGUUCUUUGGUUUAUGAGUUUACUUUAAUCCUCUUCCGGUUGAGUAUUAGAGUAAUCACUUGUUAGCGUAAACGUGGUGUUUAGGCUAGGGUACUCAUAGAUAUCCCCUGACUAGCUGGACCGUGGUAGUAGCGAGGAACGUGACAUUUCCGAGUUACCUUUGUAGAUCACAUCUCGUUAGCAGGACGGGUAGGUUUAUAGGUGCGGGUCGAACAUCCUUUGUGUUGUCUAGAUUCCGUGAGCCUCUCCAAUAGAACAGUAGAUCAUCCUUACCAAGGUUAGAACGAGACUACGGUUGCAGUCUUCUCUAUACAUCACUCACAUCGAGAAACAUUCUUUGUAGCCUAAAGGGAUAGUAGCAAUAGAUUUGGUUAGUCAGAUGCACCCUUUCUCCCAGUCGUAAAAAUAUAAAUACGAUAACUCUGGAUAACCUCCCGGGUGAAAUGCUCACCGAUAUCCGUGCGCUUGCGGAUCAUUUCCUUAUUGCGUUACCAAAUAUCAACAAGCAUUUCUGGCGCCGUUGCCGGGGAGAAAGACGGUUUGCUGAGAUAACUUUGAGUCUUGCUAUUAUCUUGUAUUAUACUUUUAUACUUUUAUUCUUUUAUCUUUUUAUUUUUAUCUUUAUGGAUAACUCAAAUUCCAUACCUAUAAUUAAAUUCUUUGCACCUUCGGAGACCAGCCAUAGACCAUGGGAGUCAACACGUCCUGCCCCUAAUUAUGAUCUGUGUCCGGAGUUGAUUGCAAUAGGUCAAAACCAACCCUUUUCUAUAGCCGAGGUCCUAUCUUUUAAUCAAGAAGAUAAUGCACUUUUAGCUACACCUGGGGAAUCUUUUAAUCUUUCUAUAAAUUCUGGUUUAGACCUAGCCCUACAAGACCAUGUUUUUCCUAGAUAUUUUCACAUUGGUCUUAAUCAUAUAACCUUUGGUAGAGUCAUUCUUUCUUUAUCUAUUAGUAAAGGAAGGUAUGUCUUUUCAUUUGUGGACAUUCUUCUUGUACUAGUCUUCAUAGAAAAAUCCUAGAAAUAGAGAAGGAAUCAUCUCACAGACAAGGAAAGGAAGUUUCAAUAGCCAAUUUCCAAACAUUUCAAACCCAUAAUUCGGCUAUCCACACCUUCCUUGAGCUUAAUAAAUUCUACUAUGCUCUUUCUCUUAAACCUCCCGAUAAUCAUAUGAAUCUCUCUAGACAUCCCAUGCAUAAGGAGGAUCGAGAAGAGCAACAUCAAUAGCUAGAGGGCAUUAAAAAUCAAUAUGCUAUCACCAUUGAAUGGAUAGAUAAAACAAACUUGAGAGACAAUCCUAGAGGAAUUUUAAGCAUUCAUGAAGAAUCAUCCUUGGAGUUUGAGAAUGAGAGAAACAACAGUGAGCAUGGAAGUUGUUUCAUAAAUACCUUACCAAGUCCUUGCUCAUAUAAAACAUCUCCCCAAUCAAUUGGUCUCUCCAUCCUUACCACAUUUGAGAUCUCCAACCCCCUUUUCCUUUCUAUUUAUAAAAACUUUAAAAGGGCGGUUGUCGAUGCAUAUGUCUAUAAUAAAUAUUGCAGAUCUCGUUGAGUUGAUCUUGAUAUAGGAGGGUGUUGGAGGGGAAACCACUUCACUAACAUAACUUGAUGGUUUCCCAAAGAUAAGCUUAGCGUCCUUAAACAAGCACUUAUCAGAUCGUAACAUGAACUUCUAAUUAUUUGCAACAUUAGCUUGUGUAUUGAGCAUAUAAAGAUAAUUGUAGAAAUAUUCCUUUGGGUAUUCUUGUCACUAACCUUUCCAGGAUUGGAGCAAGAAGAUCGGAUGAAUGACAAGCACAAGGUAUGCCCAACCAAUCAUCAUGCAACAUUAAAUUAAAUUCAUCCAAUCUUGAAUUUUGCAAAAUUCAAGCUUGGGGGAGUACUUUACAUAAAACAUCCUUUGCCAUGUUGCUAUGUUGGUUGUCCCUACCUUUGAGACAUGCUCAAUUUGUUAAAUACUAAUCACACUACUUCAUCUCCACUUGAGUAGAUCUCUAUAAAAGCCAUCAUGCUACCUUUGUUUAUCCUAGUAAGUGUUAGUUUGGAAGUACUGGUCACACUUCCAAUGGCAUUUAAAUUAAGCGUGGUGCUUAGGUUAAAUAGCCUUCCUUAAUCUGAUUAGACAUGGAGUCUUGUUUGGUUACUGAACUAAAAAACUGCUUGAGUAGAUAUUGGUAUAUUUUGUUGGACUAACCCCUGCAGGAAAACUUUCAAUAACAACCUGGGAAGUCCUGAGAUGCAAACUCAUUAGAGAUGAAGAAAGUGACACAUGAAGUUUAACAAUUUGCACAAGAAAGACGUAGCUCAUAAGAGAUGAUUCAUGGAGGGUGCCACAAACACGAUGCACAACCGCUAAGAAAGGAAAGCUUCCACAAGGUGAUACUGUACCAUCACUCUUCAAGUAAGGUAACAUCUUAAGGUACUUGACUAACACUUUUAUAAGGUCCUCCUUGGUUCUGGCAUUCACAUAAAUAAAGAGACAAACAUGUAUGAUUUAUAACUCCAAAUUAACCAACUCAAUUAAUUCAACAUGUUUAGUCCUUUAAUCUUUGUUCUUAGUACUACCUUGGUGACCCCACACUCCUAAUCAUAUAAGCUAAAGUAUUGCACAUUCAAUCUUUGGAAGAUAUAAACAAAACAUAAAUAUAGAUAGAUUAUCUUUCCAUUAGGUUGAGCCAUCUGAUCUGACAAAUGCUACACUCAUGAUCCCUCAACUUUGUCUUGCUCACUAUGCUUAAGGUUAGAGAAGAACAAAUACACUUUUGGUUCUGUUGGUGUUUUCCACCAACAGGGCCCAUGCACUUGAUCUCUACCUUGUCUCUAUGAGCAGGAACACUUCGAGCAUAAUAUGAAGGAGUUUUACAACUCCCAGAUUCCACCAAGUGAAGAACUAGGAUCUACGAGCACAAACACACUGGAGAUACUGGACGCUCAGGCAAUCACUGCCCUAAGAUGCUUGAGGACAUGAACUACAUCAACAACAAUAACAACUAUUACUACAACCGUCCUCAACAACAUCAAGGUUGGAAUCAAUAGAGGCCUAAUUACUCAGAGAGGUGAUCUAGGACGUCCCGUCAUCCCGAUCUCCAUCGGCAUGGUGGACUUCCCAGAAGCACUCUGCGACUUUGGCUCCAACGUCAACAUUAUGCCUAGGGUUGCAGAUCGGACACUCAGUUUCCCAAAGGAAAUAUUGAAGAACCUCUGUGUCCGAGUUGGUACCUUGUAUGCUCUAGCAGACUUCAUGGUGAUAGAGACUGGUACUGAGGAGAGGGCACCCAUCAUCUUAGGGAGGCCAUUCCUAAACACUAGAGUUGUCAUCUACGCUAAUGCUGCCAAGAUCAGUCUCUACAUCAAGGGGAAGAAGGAGACUUUCCUUCAAGAACAAGACUACACAAGCUUCAGAGCAAACCCGACAUGAACCAAGGAAGAGGACCAACAGGAGGAACAGGAACAAGCAAAUGUGGACCAAGUCAGCUAAGAUGGUCACUGCAGCUCGAGGAGGUCAAGAUCGUCGACUCAAGUCACCUUUCUUGAUCAAGAAGGACGACCCUGGUGUUCUAAGCAUUGAGUGCACAAUCAACAGAUACUCUUUUCAGAAGACACUCUACGACACCGGAUCUGACGUCAACAUAGUGGCCGUAGUCACUUAUCAGCUCCUGCAUAAAACCAUGCCCCUACAACCAAUAUACAUUCAGCUAUAGAUGACUUUCAAGUUAUUGACAUGGGAGAAGAUGAAUAUGAUCCAUUCACCAUCCUUGGAAGACAGUUCCUCAGCACUAUCAAAGCCAUCAUCUAUAUUGGAACCGGAGAAGUCCACAUACACUUCUCCUCUGAGAAGGUAUGCCGCUGUUUUACUCACCCUAACUAUAUAGUUGAAGACUCUAAGCAGGUCAGGACAAGAAGAAGACAUCGCAACCGCAACCAGAGGAGGCAAAUCAUCAAGGACGGAUGGGUAGACUACGAAGGAGAAGUGAUAAGGACUGAAGACAUACCACUUGAACAUAACUGUCCUGAGGAGACCAUAGCACCGAGUCAGGUGUGGAGAGAGAAUAUAGUUACACACGAAGAGGAGGCGCCACCGGAAUCCCCGACUACGUCAUCCAGCGAAUCCCAGGACGAUUAAGAAAAUGGAGAGUCCCGCUCGGAGGACUUAAAAACACCGAACGCCUUGCCAAGAGGUAAACUUGGUAGUUAUCUUUUCCCUUUUAAUUAUUUCAAAUAGUUUACUUAGUUAAUCAUGUUCGUAUUAUCCUAGAAAGAAAAUAAAAAUGUGAAAAAAAAACUGUAAGCCCCAUGUGAGUAGACGAGUGACAUAAAACCCAUAAGUACAUUCACUGUGGUGGCAUAAAAAUAAAAUAAAUAUUUUUCUACUUUAUAAAAACAAAAGUAUAAAAACAGGGAGUAAUAAUUAUUAAGGAGUCUCAACAUGAUAAAGGCUAGAUAUUUAUGCUAACACUUAACCAGUUCCACAAGCUUUGUUGUCUAUUUGAGCUCCACAGAAUUUAAGAAUCAAGAAGACUAGCAGACGGAGGACAUUCUAAUCGCUGUCAAAAUACUGCUGACUUUCAAACACACCUCUGCCACCUGCUAGCUACAUCAAGAGAAAUUACGUCAAAAUCCAGCUUGGAGGAGAGCACCCCCAUUUAUCUCGAUAAGUAUUUCUAUCUAUCUUUAUACUUAUACUAUAUUAGAAUAUAAAUACACAUAACUAUGAAAAACCAAAUAAAGAUUUAUGCUUAUAUAUAUUUUGCUUAGUGUGUUUAAUAAAUAAAUAAAGUGACUAUGAUAAUCGGUAUCUAAUAAAACUUAAGCAUGGAUAUGAUGAAUAGUUACUCUGCCUAAUUUGCAAAUUUGAAGUUCUCUCUCAAGUUUAGAUAUAACUGUUAUAAUUUAAGGCUUGCUCUAGACCUAAACUUGUGGGAUGAAAACUUGAUCUGAAGUCUAAGUUGUUAACGGAUACGAUAUGGGAAGGUUGAGCUGCUGUUCAUCUAUUCCUAGAGAUGCUAGAAUUCUGGAGAAUUUUAUCUUUGAAAAAAUCUUUAAAAUAACACAUGAUGAGUUCCUGUAUGAUGAGAGUUUAAAUUCCUACCACAGCCAUAUAUACAUGCUUGCUAGACCUUGAGCCACACAUUUACUAUUUACUGCUUAUGAGCAUUGAGUGUGGUCAAGCUGUGUAGACCCUUAGGAGCUUGUCAUGUGGUUAAAUCAAGAUUCACUUGCACGUUCACUCAUACAUGCUACUUCUACUCCGGAAGUACCAUCCACAUAUAUCCACUCAUUUCCAUCUCCAAAACCACCCAAAAGUAUUCUACUCCUAAUCCAGGAGAGAAUAACUAAAAAUAUUUCUGUUUCCCCUUAUGAAAUAAAUGCUCAAGUUAUCAUGUUACUACCUCUUGCUAUAUUAUCUCAAGAGAUGAAUGCUCUAAAAAAAUAAAAAAAAUAAAAAGAGAAAAUAAAAGAUACGAGGAAAUAAAAAGGAGCAAGUGCUCGGAACCUCGAAAGAAAAGAAAAAAAAGAAGAGCAUCUCAUUCUCCUCAUAAAGUUUCAAAAGCAAGGAAGGUAUGUAUCCCCUCAAAGAGCAAAGUAGAAUUAGACUUCCACCACCAUUGUUAUCACCAUCAUCACCAUACACCAUUCAUUCGCCACACAUGCACAUCUUGAUUUGGCUUAUUGAUUUGUUUCUUUGGAUCCAUGGUUUGACUAUGCAAUAAAUGUCUUGUAAGUAUGUAUACUUUAUCUCCCACCUAUGAGCUUCAGAUAUUAAAGCCUUAUUAGAGUAGGGUGAGAGAGAAGACAAUGUCACUAUGCUUCAUACCACAAAUACUACAUAUCUUGAGAGAAGGCAUAUACCAUCACUGCCUUGGUAAGGAUCCAAAAAUACCACAAAAGAGAGACCUGAGAGAAUCAUACAAGGAAUUUCUGAGUUUUAUUUGAAAAUCUGCAAAAACCCCAGAGCUAUAGCUGAUCAAGAAUAAGAGACAUGGCAUUUGGCUAGACUGUUCUAUCUUUUAACCACUCAAGACAGAAGUGACGGUUACAAGUCCUAUGGUGUAGGUAAAGUAAGUAAGUUUUAAGUCUUAACAGUUUAUUCUAACUAUGAGAUCUUGCUUAAAUGCAUGUGUACUUCUAAGAAAUGAAACCACUACAGAAACUCUUGAGUUCAUCCUUGCUCAGGGACGAGCAAGAGGUAAGCCUGGGGGAGUUUGUUGACGGUCCUUAAGUAUCAAAUUUAAUUAUCAAAUAAAUAAAGAAAAGGAUCCAAAUGAAAUCAACAUCUAGACUUAGGGUUUUAUCUGACAGAAUUCCACGAGUUUUGGUGUUUGUCUAUUUCUGCAGGGGGUUAUCAGGAAAUAAGGAAGAAAGGCCCACAUGUCAGGAUUACAUAGAGAUAUCAACCCACCGCGCAAUUUUCUACCAUCUAGAAGACUCCAGAAGCCACGGGAAGGAAGCGGAGCCCGAAAGGGGCCAGGCCCAGGGCGCCCGCCCUGAGGACCUGGGCGGCCGGCCCCCUCUGGACUCCGUUCCGGACUAUCUUCGCACACGACGUUCCACCGACCUAUUGGAUCCAGAAUAACAUAGUACCACCUCGCCUAUCGACCCAAAAACGCAUAGAAGGGGAGGACUAUAUAAGGAGACCCCCUCUGGCCCCUGGAGAAGACAAGAAAUUAUCAUAGAGAUUGAGGGGUGCCCUCGAAGGAAAACCUCUUCACUAAAUAAUAUUUCUUUUGAGGCUUAGCAACCAAUGUAAGGUAGAAAUAGAUCUUCUAGUUUCUACUAGAUUGAGAGAGAUAGAGUGGAGGU
rnacentral:lncRNA from 1 species